GUGCCCACAUUGGCAGCACAUAUACUAAAAUUAGAAUGAUACAGAGAUUAGCAUGGCCCCUGUACAAGGAUGACACAAAUUCAUGAAGCAUUCCAUAUUUUU
ensembl:snRNA U6 U6 spliceosomal RNA